UGUUAGUGGUGUACAUUGCAUAUGUAUACAAUGCAGGUAGUUUAGUAGGCUACAUUCUUCUAAGUGUUAGCACUUGGUUUAUGGCCAUUUCAUGGCGUUUUGCUCCUUAUUUGUUCAAUCCAUCCGGUUUCAAGUGGCAAAAGUGAGUUUAUUUUUUCUUUUUAUAAUUUAUGACAUCAUCUUUAUAUUUUAUACUUUUUUUUGUUUUCCAUUUUUAGGACGGUAGAGGACUUCAGAGACCGGACAAAUUAGCUCUUCUAUAGAGGUGAAAUUAGCGUUAAAGGAGAAGAAAGUUGGGAAGCUUGGUGAGAUGAAGAAUUGGUAUUACAAUUUUUAAAAAAUAUCCUUGUUUUUCCAUUACCAUGUAUUUAUAUAUAAUUCUUAAUUAUGAUAAAAUGUGAUUCUUUUGUAGUCUCAUAUUCGAAGAAGGGUUAUGGAGACGAUUUUGAGCCUACGGUUAUUCAUAUUCGAAUAUGGUGUUGUUUACAAAUUGGAUGUGCAAGAUUCAAAUACAUCAUUAUCCUGUUGAAGAAGCAGAGUGUGAAAGGGCAUAUGGGUUGGCUAGUGAUCUCUAUGUGUCAAUCUUUGAUCGUACAAAGGCCACCUGAGUUGCAAUGAGAGAAGCACAUGAAGAGGUUGUGCAAAAGGCGAUGUCCAUUUAUAACGCCAUUUCAGUGGGAUUUGGUUCUGCUAGACAAAAAUACGAAAAAAAAUUCAUAUGUUUUUGAAAAAG